CCUACGGGUGGCUGCAGUGAGGAAUAUUGGUCAAUGGGCGAGAGCCUGAACCAGCCAAGUCGCGUGAGGGAGUACUGCCCUAUGGGUUGUAAACCUCUUUUGUCGGGGAGCAAAAGCCGGACGUGUCCGGCUGUGAGAGUACCCGAAGAAAAAGCAUCGGCUAACUCCGUGCCAGCAGCCGCGGUAAUACGGAGGAUGCGAGCGUUAUCCGGAUUUAUUGGGUUUAAAGGGUGCGCAGGCGGAUUUUUAAGUCAGCGGUCAAAUCGUGGGGCUCAACCCCAUCCAGCCGUUGAAACUGGGGAUGUAGAGUGUGCGAGAGGUAUGCGGAAUUCUCGGUGUAGCAGUGAAAUGCGUAGAUAUCGAGAGGAACACUCGUGGCGAAGGCGGGUUCCUGGACAUUAACUGACGCUGAGGCACGAAGGCCAGGGGAGCGAAAGGGAUUAGAUACCCCAGUAGUC
rnacentral:rRNA from 1 species